AAGACUAUAGACCUGCGGAGUACCUGCGGAAGGAUCAUUACCGAGUUAUCCAACUCCCAACCCCUGUGAAUCAUACCUUUAAUUGUUGCUUCGGCGGGACUUCGCGCCCGCCGGGGACCCAAACCUUCUGAAUUUUUUAAUAAGUAUCUUCUGAGUGGUUAAAAAAAAUGAAUCAAAACUUUUAACAACGGAUCUCU
rnacentral:misc_RNA from 1 species